GACAGCGUACCCGAGCCUGGUUAAAGGGGGCAGGCUUAAGAUCUGCUGCGAUACGCUUCGCGGGUUCGAAUCCCGCCGCUGUCA
rnacentral:tRNA from 1 species